GAGGUGGUGGCAUUCGGCGACCGGCUGUGGUGGCUCGACCCGACCUGGGGCAUCUGCUCCGUCGACCCUUUCAGCGACCAGCCGGAGCAUCGCUUCGUGGAGCUGCCCCCGGCCAGCGUGCUGCCUGACCUGAUUGACCUGGCGGGGACUCCGGUGCUGGGCAGGUACCGUCGUCUGGGAGUGAGCGAGGGGAAGCUGCGCUAUGUGGAGGUGUCUAACAGCAGGAAGCCAUUCGUGUGCAGCUCCUUCUCGCUCGACGAGAAGGGCUGCUGCUGGACGGUCGAGCACAAGGUUGCAUUCAAUCCUGUUCUCCCUGAAAGGUGCAAAGUUCUGGAAGACCACAUACCGUGCAUUGCCGCCAUCGAUCCAUUCCGGGCGAACUUUCUGUACCUCGUCUAUGGUCGCUUUCUUAUUGUUGUGGACAUGGCCAAGGGGAAAAGCUUAGGGGGCCGGUAUCUUCCAGAAAGAACCGGCGAUCAAACCCUGUGCCCCUCUGGUUUCCUUGUGCCCUGCACGCUCCCAACAUGGCUAGAGUCGAGCUACAUCCCCUGUGCA
rnacentral:rRNA from 1 species